GAUGAACGCUGGCGGCGUGCCUAAUACAUGCGAGUCGAGCGAACAGAUGAGGAGCUUGCUCCUCUGACGUUAGCGGCGGACGGGUGAGUAACACGUGGAUAACCUACCUAUAAGACUGGGAUAACUUCGGGAAACCGGAGCUAAUACCGGAUAAUAUAUUGAACCGCAUGGUUCAAUAGUGAAAGACGGUUUUGCUGUCACUUAUAGAUAGAUCCGCGCCGCAUUAGCUAGUUGGUAAGGUAACGGCUUACCAAGGCAACGAUGCGUAGCCGACCUGAGAGGGUGAUCGGCCACACUGGAACUGAGACACGGUCCAGACUCCUACGGGAGGCAGCAGUAGGGAAUCUUCCGCAAUGGGCGAAAGCCUGACGGAGCAACGCCGCGUGAGUGAUGAAGGUCUUCGGAUCGUAAAACUCUGUUAUUAGGGAAGAACAAAUGUGUAAGUAACUAUGCACGUCUUGACGGUACCUAAUCAGAAAGCCACGGCUAACUACGUG
rnacentral:rRNA from 1 species